GAUGAAGAACGUAGCGAAAUGCGAUAAGUAAUGUGAAUUGCAGAAUUCAGUGAAUCAUCGAAUCUUUGAACGCACAUUGCGCCCGCCAGUAUUCUGGCGGGCAUGCCUGUCUGAGCGUCAUUUCAACCCUCAUGCCCCUAGGGCGUGGUGUUGGGGAUCGGCCAAAGCCCGCGAGGGACGGCCGGCCCCUAAAUCUAGUGGCGGACCCGUCGUGGCCUCCUCUGCGAAGUAGUGAUAUUCCGCUUCGGAGCGCGAUGAGCCCCUGCCGUUAAACCCCCAACUUUCCAAGGUUGAACUCAGAUCAGGUAGGAAUACCCGCUGAACUUAAGCAUAUCAAUAAGCGGAGGA
rnacentral:misc_RNA from 1 species